AUUGAACGCUGGCGGCAUGCUUUACACAUGCAAGUCGAACGGUAACAGGCCUUCGGGUGCUGACGAGUGGCGAACGGGUGAGUAAUGCAUCGGAACGUGCCCAGAGGUGGGGGAUAACGCAGCGAAAGCUGUGCUAAUACCGCAUGUGAUCUGAGGAUGAAAGCGGGGGACCAGGCAGCAAUGUUUGGCCUCGCGCCUUUGGAGCGGCCGAUGUCAGAUUAGGUAGUUGGUGGGGUAAAGGCCUACCAAGCCGACGAUCUGUAGCUGGUCUGAGAGGACGACCAGCCACACUGGGACUGAGACACGGCCCAGACUCCUACGGGAGGCAGCAGUGGGGAAUUUUGGACAAUGGGCGCAAGCCUGAUCCAGCAAUGCCGCGUGCGGGAAGAAGGCCUUCGGGUUGUAAACCGCUUUUGUACGGAACGAAAAGGCUCUGGCUAAUACCUGGGGCUAAUGACGGUACCGUAAGAAUAAGCACCGGCUAACUACGUG
rnacentral:rRNA from 1 species